rnacentral:rRNA from 1 species
GAUGAACGCUAGCUACAGGCUUAACACAUGCAAGUCGAGGGGCAGCGGUAUCGAAAGCUUGCUUUCGGUAGCCGGCGACCGGCGCACGGGUGAGUAACGCGUAUCGAACCUGCCUCAUACUCGGGAAUAGCCUUGCGAAAGUAAGAUUAAUGCCCGGUGUUUUCAGAGUCCCGCAUGAGGCUUUGAACAAAGAUUUAUCGGUAUGAGAUGGCGAUGCGUCCCAUUAGCUUGUUGGCGGGGUAACGGCCCACCAAGGCAUCGAUGGGUAGGGGUUCUGAGAGGAAGGUCCCCCACAUUGGAACUGAGACACGGUCCAAACUCCUACGGGAGGCAGCAGUGAGGAAUAUUGGUCAAUGGGCGGAAGCCUGAACCAGCCAAGUAGCGUGCAGGAAGACGGCCCCCCGGGUUGUAAACUGCUUUUAGUUGGGAAUAAAACGGGGCUCGUGAGCCCCCUUGCAUGUACCAUCAGAAAAAGGACCGGCUAAUUCCGUG